CAGGGGCUACAUGCCUACCAAGUUUCAUGUGCUCUGGUGUUACGGUGUCCUGGGAAUCGUUGACCAAAAACUCAGGAAGUAGAUGACAGCAUUUCUGUCUUGUUCAAGAGAUGGAAACAGGCAUCCAGAACACCAGACCGAAGUCCCAUGGCCUGCUGGAUACAUGGUCAGUCUUUCCAUUGAAGAUUGUUCCUCUAUCAUUGAGAACGUACUCACUCAGCUGAUUUUCAUCAUUCAAGAAGACGUCAUCAGCUACAGUAAUAUACAAACAAUACAGCAUGACAGUUUUUUUUAUUUAGUUUGAGAUUAGAAUUACAGUAAUAUACCACGUACCAUGGCUACAAUUAUGAUGAAUAUUUAACUCUUAAAUGACUCUUAAUAAUCAAAAUAAUUUAACUCUUACAUGAGCACCAUGGAUUGAACAGGAGAUGAAUGUCUGUGUUGAGGUCUCUCCGUUGUUGAGAAGGUGCAAACACAGUCAGAAAGAUGUGAUACUUUCCGACAAUGCAGUUUGCUGGAGGUGUUAUGUCCACAGUCAUUUUGUUACCUGUCAUGUCACCGGUCACCUCGAUGUCUCUCUUCCACUGACAUACACGAUGUUCUGGAUAUGGACACUUGGUAUUUAGAAGCACAAUGUUAUAGGUAGCCUUGUCAGAGCGGGGGUUUUUACCUGUAAAAUGAUGAGACUAGACAUUAAAAUAAUUCCCUUCGAUGGCUUGAUUGUCACAA